CUUUGAAGCAGAGGGCAGGAGCGAGUUCCGUUGAAAGGCCACUGCGUCGGGAGCCCCACGGCUUUAUCCCGGCACAAGAACGGGUCGGGGUGCUGGGCUCGAGGGCGGCACCCUUCCCUGGUGGGCCGAUGGGGCAGAGCGGGUCUCACAGGUGCACUUCACCUCCCCCCUCCCCCACCCACCGCCUCACUUCCGUCAUUAGAAAUCCGCGUGCAUUGUUCAACCGAGCUUCCUCUGACCUGGAGGAACUGCCCAGAUCCACUUCCCACUCUGUUGGUGGAAGAUCCAGGCCCAUAACUAGGUCUAGGUAUGAACAAGUGUUUUGGGCCUGGCCAAUCAGAGUACUGCUUCCUCAAGACCAGCCAAUCAGAAUGUGGCUCUCACAGGUUUGGCCAAUUGGAAUGCUGCUUCCACAGGCCUAGCCAAUCAGAGCCUGACUCCCAUAAGUUUACCCAAUCAGAAUACUACUCCAACAGGCCUAGUCUAUCACUGCACUGCUCCCACAGGUCUGGCCAAUCAGAGCAUGUUUCCGCAGAUCCUUUCCAUGGAGCGUUCUGUAGCUCAAGUCCCGGAACCUGCUAUGUGUCCCUAAGAUCGCAGUGCUCACGAUCUGGGGAGAAAGUGGUGAGUGAGGAACUUGGCAGAUGUGGUCUCGCCGUGGGUGGACUUAGCACUCCUGGGCCUUGGGCUGCUGGUUCUCUGGGAGCCGUGAACCAAUGCCCAGGCCGCUGGGUACCCUGCGCCCACACAGGUGUCUGUCCCUGGCAGCCCCUGCAGACCUGGUGUCCUCUCGACCUCCAGCUGGACGUGAAGCCAGCACUCGGCCCGCACAGAAACAAGGCACCCCUGCCACUGCACCAGAACAGGUCACGUGCCUGAUAAGCCCCGGCAGGCUGUUCUGGGGAUACAGACUAGGCUGGAGGAUUAGGCCAGUGUUCCAGGCAGCUCUGACCUCCGAGCCACCCUACUCGCAUGUCCUGACCCAAAGCGACACAUGAACUCGGAAGCGCACAGCUUCCUCCGGAGCCCCAAACAGGUGGAUACCCAAGAGUCUCAGCUCCUGCCUCCCCACCCCUUCCCCUUCUCCUGACACCCAAGGGACCCUUGUGGACUCUGUAGCUGCAGCUCGGCAGGGAGCACACUCAGGUCUUCCCUGCUCCCCCGAGCCCACCCUUUAUGAUCCUGCUGGCUCUCUGCCCGGUGCCUGUCCCUUGCUCCUCCCCAGGGAGCUGGUUCUGUCCCGAGUUCAGCGGGGUGUGGUGAUUGUCCUGCCAAUCCGACUCCUUUCCUUCUGAGCAGACGCCCUUACCCUGUGGGCCCCGGAGGUGGAGCUGCCCCAGUUCCGGCCACUCCCACCCGCAGGGACACCUUCUCUGUUCCCCCACUGCGCUGUCUUCCUUCCUGGACCAAGUUCACAGUGAUGAUGAUGCCGAAGAUUGGCCUGCACACAUGCUGGCCCCAAGCUGUCCACGGGGACCUGUCCCAUGAACUGGGGUCUAGGUACCUCCAGAGGACUGUGCAGCUGCCAAUACGUGGUAAAUAAAAGAGCAAAGACUUUCAAGAAAUGUACAAUCCAUCAGCAAUAAACAGGACGCAGAACCGAGCUCCGGCCUGAGUCUCAAACUGAGGUAUGAGGUGGAUUGCCAGCCAGGAACUCGGUGCCAGCUUGUAAGCUGCUAGGUCCUGAUGGGUACGCUAGUGUAGACAA
rnacentral:lncRNA from 1 species